AGCUCGUGAUUGGACAAGAAAAAGUCUUUAUUUUGCCAAUGUAACGUCAGAAAUUUAGCUCUCAUUAUAUUUAUAACUUUGGCAACUUUGGUAACCAAAGUUGCCAAAGUUAUAAAUAUAAUGAGAGCUAAAUUUCUGACGUUACAUUGGCAAAAUAAAGACUUUUUCUUGUCCAAUCACGAGCU